GAGAGAGAGAGAGAGAGAGAGGAGUCCACCUGAAUUCAAGAUAAUGAAGAAAUAGGAGAAGACUGCAACAGAAAUUCUAUACAUUGCCUGCCGAGAGAGAGAGAGAGAGAGAGAGAGAGAGAGAGAGUGAGAGAAGAACAGAUCUAGGAGUCCACCUGAACCUCAACACAAGAAAAUGAAGAAAUAGGAGAAGACUGCAACAGAAAUUCUAUACAUUGCCUGCUGAGAGAGAGAGAGAGGAGUCCACCUGAAUUCAAGAUAAUGAAGAAAUAGGAGAAGACUGCAACAGAAAUUCUAUACAUUGCCUGCUGAGAGAGAGAGAGAGUGAGAGAGAGAGGAGUCCACCUGAAUUCAAGAUAAUGAAGAAAUAGGAGAAGACUGCAACAAAACCGUUGUAGUCAAUGUAACUAUUGUUCUUGUGUUCUGAUACAUGUACGAGAGAGAGAGCGUGAGAGAGAGAGUAGAGUGCACCUGAAUCUGAACACAAGAGAAUGAAGAAAUAGGAGAAGACUGCACCGUGAAGCCGACAGCAGAGCUAACAACUGAAUCAAUAAUAGCUGUUUUGAGGCUGGGACAUUUCCAGACUGUCUAAAGACAGCUAGGACAUUGCCAAGUAACAAGAAGAGGGAGACUGAUAAUCCUGGUUCAGACCGAUUUCCAUUGUUCCCACAAGCUCAUGGAAAUGCUAAACGAUGAAUCGGCCAUUUUAUUCUUCAACAAUAAUUUAUUAAUAGAAAAAUAAUUGUAAUUUAUUCAUCCAUUAGUCUCCAUAAGAGGUGAAAUAACGUUUUAUAGGCUUUUGGAAGUGCAAACGUCAAAUUCAUGUAUAUCAUUAAAUCAUAUUAUUUAUGUAGCUCAAUCAACAAUGCUUAUGUAUUGUUUUCACAAUGUAAUGAAGCUCUAUUUCUUCGUUUGAAUUUGAACUUUUCAUGUAAAUUUAU